rnacentral:rRNA from 1 species
GACGAACGCUGGCGGCGUGCCUAAUACAUGCAAGUUGAGCGCUGAAGGUUGGUACUUGUACCAACUGGAUGAGCAGCGAACGGGUGAGUAACGCGUGGGGAAUCUGCCUUUGAGCGGGGGACAACAUUUGGAAACGAAUGCUAAUACCGCAUAAAAACUUUAAACACAAGUUUUAAGUUUGAAAGAUGCAAUUGCAUCACUCAAAGAUGAUCCCGCGUUGUAUUAGCUAGUUGGUGAGGUAAAGGCUCACCAAGGCGAUGAUACAUAGCCGACCUGAGAGGGUGAGCGGCCACAUUGGGACUGAGACACGGCCCAAACUCCUACGGGAGGCAGCAGUAGGGAAUCUUCGGCAAUGGACGAAAGUCUGACCGAGAAACGCCGCGUGAGUGAAGAAGGUUUUCGGAUCGUAAAACUCUGUUGGUAGAGAAGAACGUUGGUGAGAGUGGAAAGCUCAUCAAGUGACGGUAACUACCCAGAAAGGGACGGCUAACUACGUG